rnacentral:rRNA from 1 species
UACGAAGGGAGCUAGCGUUGUUCGGAAUCACUGGGCGUAAAGCGCACGUAGGCGGACGCGUCAGUCAGGGGUGAAAUCCCGGGGCUCAACCUCGGAACUGCCUUUGAUACAGCACGUCUUGAGUCCGGAAGAGGUGGGUGGAAUUCCUAGUGUAGAGGUGAAAUUCGUAGAUAUUAGGAAGAACACCGGUGGCGAACGCGGCCCACUGGUCCGGUACUGACGCUGAGGUGCGAAAGCAAGGGGAGCAAACAGG